rnacentral:rRNA from 1 species
CUACGGGAGGCACCAGUAGGGAAUAUUGGACAAUGGGCGAAAGCCUGAUCCAGCAACACCGCGUGCACGAUGACGGCCUUCGGGUUGUAAAGUGCUUUUAGAGGAGAUGAGAAAGGACAGUAUCCUCUGAAUAAGCCUCGGCGAACUACGUGCCAGCAGCCGCGGUAAAACGUAGGAGGCAAGCGUUAUCCGGAUUUAUUGGGCGUAAAGCGCGUGCAGGCGGUCUAGCAAGUUGGAUGUGAAAGCUCCCGGCUCAACUGGGAGAGGUCGUUCAAUACUGUUAGACUAGAGAAUAGGAGAGGGAGGUGGAAUUCCGGGUGUAGUGGUGAAAUGCGUAGAUAUCCGGAGGAACACCAGUGGCGAAAGCGGCCUCCUGGACUAUUUCUGACGCUAAGACGCGAAAGCUAGGGUAGCAAACGGGAUUAGAUACCCCGGUAGUC